UACGUAGGGUGCGAGCGUUGUCCGGAAUUAUUGGGCGUAAAGAGCUCGUAGGCGGUCUGUCGCGUCGAUCGUGAAAACUUGGGGCUUAACCCUGAGCUUGCGGUCGAUACGGGCAUGACUGGAGUUCGGCAGGGGAGACUGGAAUUCCUGGUGUAGCGGUGAAAUGCGCAGAGAUCGGGAGGAACACCCGUAGCGAAGGCGGCACUCUGGGCCGGUACUGGACGCUGAGGAGCGAAAGCGUGGGGAGCAAACAGG
rnacentral:rRNA from 1 species